UGGGGAAUUUUGGACAAUGGGGGCAACCCUGAUCCAGCCAUGCCGCGUGAGUGAAGAAGGCCUUCGGGUCGUAAAGCUCUGUCGGAGGGAACGAAUGCUCUUGAGGUUAACAGCCUCGGGAGGUGACGGUACCCUCAAAGGAAGCACCGGCUAACUCUGUGCCAGCAGCCGCGGUAAUACGUAGGGUGCAGGCGUUAAUCGGAAUUACUGGGCGUAAAGCGUGCGCAGGCGGUUUGUUAAGACAGGUGUGAAAUCCCCGGGCUUAACCUGGGAAUUGCGCUUGUAACUGGCAGGCUAGAGUGUGGCAGAGGGGGGUGGAAUUCCACGUGUAGCAGUGAAAUGCGUAGAUAUGUGGAGGAAUACCGAUGGCGAAGGCAGCCCCCUGGGAUAACACUGACGCUCAUGCACGAAAGCGUGGGGAGCAAACAGGAUUAGAUACCCAUGUAGUCCCUGAGCGGGCUGGCAAGGCGCAU
rnacentral:rRNA from 1 species